UAGCUUAAACAUCCAUUAUUUUUGUGCAGCCUCUUGAUGAAAAUGUGAAGGCAAAGCUCUCACAGUUUUCCCAACAUUUGGCACAUUCCUCCACUUCUUAGAGUAGGUGGUUUUGCUCUGUUAUUGAAUUGGGAAAUCUGGUUUAACCUCUAUCAAAUCAUUGCGAAUGUUGAACUUUUGAAUAUCCUUUUAUUUCCCUCAUGGUCAAAAGGCUCAUGAAUCUGUAUUAAAAUGCUCAACCUCUACAGAAUCCAGUACUAGAUUAAUGGACUAGGAGAGCUCAACUCUGCAGCUUGUUGUACGAGCCUGUGAGGAUAGCCAUGGUGGAAAGUACAGUGGACUUUCAGAUUCUUAUCUAUUUGUACUAAAGUUCUGUAAAUUUGCAAAACAAUCGUUGCCGUGAAGAUGUUUCGUACUAAGCAUUUCUAGGCGGAGACCAACAACAGCCCUCUCCAAAAGCA